UACGUAGGUCCCGAGUGUUGUCCGGAUUUAUUGGGCGCAAAGCGAGCGCAGGUGGUUUAUUAAGUCUGGUGUAAAAGGCAGUGGCUCAACCAUUGUAUGCAUUGGAAACUGGUAGACUUGAGUGCAGGAGAGGAGAGUGGAAUUCCAUGUGUAGCGGUGAAAUGCGUAGAUAUAUGGAGGAACACCGGUGGCGAAAGCGGCUCUCUGGCCUGUAACUGACACUGAGGCUCGAAAGCGUGGGGAGCAAACAGG
rnacentral:rRNA from 1 species